AGAAUCAACGCUGGCGGCGUGCCUCAGACAUGCAAGUCGAACGAUUAAAGCUCUCUUCGGAGAGUGUAUAGAGUGGCGCACGGGUGAGUAACACGUAAGUAAUCUACCUUUGAGUGGGGAAUAACAGUCGGAAACGGCUGCUAAUACCGCAUAACGCAAGCGGCACCGCAAGGUGACAGUUGUUAAAGGAGCAAUCCGCUUAAAG
rnacentral:rRNA from 1 species